UGUGUUUAGGAGUCUUAUAAAAAUGUUUCUUUAAAAGGCAGUUGGCUGCAUUUUCUGAAUUCUGUUUUGGACAGUGGUGAAGUUAACUGUUGGGGAAUGUUUUGUGGUCAAAAAGGUUGGAUUACAAAAUAAUAGAAAAGCAAUCACACAAAAGACCUUCACAUUACAAUUCUUUGCUGAAGUAUUCACUAACCUUUGACUUUUCUCCAUUUUGUUCAUUUGCAAUAUGGAAUUCAAAUGGAUUUAGCUGGCAUGUCGAAGUGUUGAAUUCAUAAGGGGGGAUAGUGGAAAUGAAACUCAACACCUCUCAAUACAGAGAAGAAUGACUGAAAAGAAAAGUGCAGACAAAUAACAACAAACCAAGGACCAAUUUAGGAGUUGAAUUGAUGCAGGAUGGAAAACGACUAACUCUCAACAAAUUUCCAGAACUAUUGGUUUGUCUGGAGGAUUUCUAGGAUGUAAGAUUUAAUGUUAUCUAUGAAUUUUAGGGAGGAACCUAGAUGUUAACCAAGAUAGUGGUCACUUCACUCUUUAUUCAUCUGAUUUCUACAAAAGCAGCUUGUAGUAAGUGCCCUGUAUGGCAACUGUUGUUGGACUGCAACUCCCAGUAUUCCUCACUGCUUCUUAUGCUGGUUAGGAUGGUUAGGAGAUGUAGUUAAACACCAUCUGGAGAGGCAAAUGAUGCCCUGCUAUAAACAGAAUUUUAACAAAUAUAGAGAUGAAAUGCAAAGUGUGCUGUAUCUUAAUAAUGGGAAACCCCAUUAGGACAUUUUUUUCUGGGCAUAUUUUUUCUCUUCCAUGCUCCAAAAUUUCCCAAACACUGAAGACUAGGAAUUCCUGUAACCACAAUCAUCCUCAACUGAAGGUAAGUCAUGCUGUUUUGUGGCACUCGGGCCUGAAUAUCUCUUUUACAGUACUUGACUGAGCAUGCUGAUUUUCCUAAAGUACGUUUUGCCGUGAGCUCUUUCAUCUCUGUCAAAUUGGACAUGUUCUUUCCUGCCAUGCACUAUAAUAAUUCCCACAGACUGAACAACAUGAGGGGAAAGAAGGGGGAAAUCAGGUUCAAGGACAGGUUAUAGACUUUUACUCAACCAGAAAUGAUCAGAGAGUUGUUUAGCAACAUUUACUUUACUCUUACUAUAUCUAAAUUACUUAGGUAAAAAUAAACAGCUGUCUAGCAUGGUUCUUGUUAAUAGUCUUCUAGUGGAGUCAUGAAACCAUUAUACUGAUUCAUUUGUGAUGUCCAGAUUUCAAGGAAUGGGCUAUGACUCUAGAGCUUAGGGUUCAAAUCCUUGCUCAGCCAUGAAGGCUCACUGUGUAACUUUAGGCAUAUCCUAUUCUCUCAGCCUCAGAGGAAGCCAAAGCCCCCCUCCUCUCCUAAUAAAUCUUACCAAGAAAUCCAAAUGAUAGGUUCACUUUGAGGCUAACAAAUGAAAUAAAUGGCUUGAAAACAUACCAAAAAAACUAGUAACCUCUUGCAAAACCUAGGAAGAUGGAAUUUGAGGAUUUUGACAUAUAUCUACAGGCAGUAGGUUAGAAAUGAAAUGCUGGAUUUUUCUUUAGCAGUAUUGAAGAUUGGGUUUUAAGAACAUGAAAUUUUUCUGGUUUUGUGGAACAGACUAUGAUGUGUCUACAUGGUCAAAAUAAAGUGGAGUCAACACUCAGCUGCUGCGGAGAGUCCAUAUGAUGCAUGGCAUGCAGCAGUUAAUCCCUGUCUACAGAACAUGGGAUUUAUUCCACAACUUCUAGGAAUUUCAGGAGACAUCCCACAGUUUCAGAGGUGUGGACAAUUGAUUUGGGUUGGAUCUGGUCCAAUCCACUGCCCACAUUCCCAACUCAUCUGCCACUGCCGUCUCUCUCUGAGAUGCUUGCUGGUGAUAUCACAUUUCUGAUAAUGUCAUUUUUGGUACUGAGACAUGUGACCAGGAACGUGAUAUCACCAGCCAACAUCGGGGGAGAGUUCUUUGCUUGCGGUGACAUGGUGGCAGUAACCCUGAUGUACCAGGGACUGGCUGGCUGUGUGCAUGGUUAAAUGUUGCAACCUCACUGCCAGGUAAAAGCCAAUCACCAGCAGAAUGGACACCUACCUCUCUGCAUGGCUGAUGCCUGGUAAAGUACAUUUUAGUGGAAAUGUGAGUGACAACUCCAACUGAGAAAGACUUGUGCCAUUCAAAACGGAUUCAAUCUUUCUUCAAUAUGCUGGGAAGACUGUUGCAUUUGGAGGGUGAGUCCACUGUUUCCAUUCUUGUCAAUUCUGCGUGGUUAAGAAAACAAUAUGAUACAAUAGAAUUAAAAGUGGCAAUUGUUUCAUGACUUACAGGAUAUAACCAUUUUUGCAACAGCAAAGGCUUUAUCCAAACAGUAAUAUCAUCAGACAUUGUUGUCAUGUUUCCACAGGUCUGAAACUGAAUGCCUGAAUAAACUAUUCUGGGAUAGAUUACGUAUAUGAUUUUUACUUUAGCUUCUCCAGCUUGUCGUGAACAAAUUCAUCUCUUGUGGGUAGGAAAUCUCAAAUCAGGAGAAUAUUGUAUGGAUUUAUUUGUCUGUUUGCUAUAUUCAACUGUUCCUCAGAAGGACUUCAAAUGCAAGAUACUUCAUCUCAGUUUUUUUUUUCUUACAGCAAGAUGUCUGUGGGAUAAAUCAGGCUGGAAGAGAGGAGUGACUGGCUCAAAAUCAUCCAGUUAGCUUCAGAGUUCAUGGGGGCUAGAGUUCAGAUUUCUCAGCUUUCAAUGUAAUCCUCUUUAGGGCUACACACUAUGCUGGAAAUAAAGCUGUGUCCAAGCCUUAAAUCCUUAACAAUAUGCAGCUCUUACUUGCUUCCAUAUAGACAUAGAAUGAUAGAAUAAUAGAGUUGGAAGAGACCACAUGGACUAUCUGGUCCAACCCUUUGCCAUGCAGGAAAAGAACAAUCAAAGCACCCCCAACAGAUGGCUAUCCAGCCUCUGUUUAAAAGUUUCAACGGAAGGAGUUUGGACAACACUCCGAAGCAGACAGUUCCACUGCUGAACAGCUCUUACAGUCAGGAAGUUCUUCCUAAUGUUCAGGUGGAAUUUCUUCUAUCAUUUGCUUCGAAUCCUAGCCUCUAGGGCAGCAGAAAACAAGCCUGCUUUCUCUUCCUUAUGACAUCAUUUCACGUGGCUAUUUAUACAUGACUAUUAUGUCUCUUAUCCACCUCCUCUUUUACAGGCUAAAUAUACCCAGCUCUUUAAGAUGGUCCUCAUAAGGCAUGAUUUCCAGAUGUUUUAUCAUUUUAGUCAUCCUCCUCUGGAAACCUUCCAGCUUGUCAAUAUUUCUUUUAAACUAUGGUGCCCAGAACUGGACACAGUAUUUCAGAGAUCACUGUGACCCACACUAAUGAAAGAUCUGGACCAAACUUGGUACACAGAACCCCCAUGACAAACAGAACAUAGUUGGAGUUCGAGUUUGUCCUGCACUCAAAGAGCACUCUGAACCCCACCUAUGGUGGUCUAGACCUGGCAAGAUGGCACUACCUGGAGGAAUCUUCCAUCUUGUGUGACUAUGGAGCUGAACAAACAAUUCCUCAUAUGUAUGCUUGCCCACAAUGCCCUGCCUCAUGCACGGAGGAGGAGUUGUUUAAAGCUACGGACAAUGCGGUUGCUGUUGCCCGCUUUUGGUCCAAAACUAUUUAGCUGUUUGUGAUUCCUUUAUUUUAUCACUUUUAAACGUAUUUAUUAUGCAAUGCUUUUGACAUGAAAUAAAAUGGUCUAGACCAAACUUGACACAAAUAAUCCUGA